GCUCCAAUAGCGUAUAUUAAAGUUGUUGCAGUUAAAAAGCUCGUAGUUGGAUUUCUGGGCCGGUUGCAUGGUCCGCCGAAAGGUGAGUACUGUGUGGCUGGUCCAUCCUCUCGAAGACUUUGUGUGCUCUUAACUGAGUGUACUCUGGAUUCGGGACCUUUACUUUGAAAAAAUUAGAGUGUUCAAGCAGGCCAUCGCUU
rnacentral:rRNA from 1 species